rnacentral:misc_RNA from 1 species
AAGUCGUAACAAGGUUUCCGUAGGUGGUUCGCCUGCGAAUUUAGUCUGCUUAGCAGGCAACAUCUUUACUGUGCUAGAAAUUACAAUAGUAUUACUAGCAGCCUGCUUAGCAGGUUCACAGAUCAAAUAGAGGUGGCCCCUAGGGGUUAAGAUAUGAUCGAUUUAAUGCUGAAAUAGCACUUUUUUAAUGGAACCUGCGGAAGGAUCAUUAAAGAGUUUAUAGACUUUUGUCUACUACUCCACCCUUUGUUUAUAAUACCAUUGUUGCUUUGGCAGGCCCGUCAUAAGACAACCGGCUUU